rnacentral:misc_RNA from 1 species
GAUGAAGAACGCAGCUAAAUGCGAUAAGUAAUGUGAAUUGCAGAAUUCAGUGAAUCAUCGAAUCUUUGAACGCACAUUGCGCCCGCCAGCACUCUGGCGGGCAUGCCUGUUCGAGCGUCAUUUCAACCAUCAAGCCCCCAGGGGCUUGUGCUGGGGCCCUGCGGCUGCCCGCAGGCCCUGAAAACCAGUGGCGGGCUCGCUAGUCACACCGAGCGCAGUAGCACAUCUCGCUCAGGGCGUGCGGCGGGCUCCUGCCGUGAAACCCCCCACUGUAACCCCAAAGGUUGACCUCGGAUCAGGUAGGAAUACCCGCUGAACUUAAGCAUAUCAAUAAGCGGAGGA